UACGUAGGGGGCAAGCGUUGUCCGGAAUCAUUGGGCGUAAAGAGCGUGUAGGCGGUUCGGUAAGUCUGUCGUGAAAUCCUGAGGCUCAACCUCGGGCGUGCGAUGGAUACUGCCGGGCUAGAGGGUGGUAGAGGCGAGUGGAAUUCCUGGUGUAGCGGUGAAAUGCGCAGAUAUCAGGAGGAACACCGGUGGCGAAGGCGGGUCUCUGGGCCGAUACUGACGCUGAGGAGCGAAAGCGUGGGGAGCAAACAGG
rnacentral:rRNA from 1 species